GCAGUCGCCGCGGUAAUACGAAGGGUGCAAGCGUUACUCGGAAUUACUGGGCGUAAAGCGUGCGUAGGUGGUGGUUUAAGUCCGUUGUGAAAGCCCUGGGCUCAACCUGGGAAUUGCAGUGGAUACUGGGUCACUAGAGUGUGGUAGAGGAUAGUGGAAUUUCCGGUGUAGCAGUGAAAUGCGUAGAGAUCGGAAGGAACAUCUGUGGCGAAGGCGACUAUCUGGGCCAACACUGACACUGAGAGACGAAAGCUAGGGGAGCAAAUGGGAUUAGAUACCCCGGUAGUCCCUGUCUCUUAUAA
rnacentral:rRNA from 1 species